rnacentral:tRNA from 1 species
GGCUCGUUAGCUCAGUGGUUAGAGCACCACACUCACCAAGUGGCGGUCGUAGGUUCGAAUCCUGCACGAGCCC